rnacentral:rRNA from 1 species
UACAGAGGGUGCGAGCGUUGUUCGGAAUUAUUGGGCGUAAAGCGCUUGUAGGCGGCUUGUUAAGUUCCGUGUGAAAUCCCCAGGCUUAACCUGGGAAGUGCGCGGAAACUGGCGAGCUUGAGUGCCGGAGAGGGUCGCGGAAUUCCCGGUGUAGAGGUGAAAUUCGUAGAUAGUCGGGAGGAACACCAGUGGCGAAGGCGGACGACCUGGACGGACACUGACG